rnacentral:lncRNA from 1 species
GGUCAGGGUAAUGUCUGUGACGGGGAAGAGAAGUCACAGCAAGGAAUCACUGUGGUCCUCUUGAACUGACCUGCUGUCCUUUGAGAGUUGAGAUAAUCCUGUUCUCCACACUCAGGCUCAUCUGAUAAGAGUAACAUUUUUCUCAUGAGACCCAAUGCAAAGAAAGCGAUCUCAUAGGAAGGGUGUGGUCUAUGACUGAUCCAAAAGAGAGUCUUGUACUAAAGUAUGGGUUGUUCUGAGUGCUGCCGUGCCAGGUGAGCCAGUGUGCAAGCUGCAGGGGAGUCAGCCACAUAGCUCAAGGCUGGCCCAGCAUUCCAGAUGUCAGGGAGGGAGAGGACAUGGUCAGGGGUAGCAGCAUGGGCCAGAGAUCCCAGCUCUUGCUGAGAUCCAGGAGUGAAUCCAGCCAGGGCAACACAGCAAUGGCUAGUUGCAAAG